GGAUCCCUACCAAGUUUCUAAGAAAUAGCAUUGAGUCCUAUCAAAACAUGUAGCCAUUUGUCACCAAGUAAAGGAUAAUUACCCAGAGGUUGGUCAUACAGAAACAUGCUUUAACACAUUUAGCACAUCCUGAAGAUGAAACUCAAAUACUUUGGCCACCU